AAUUACAAGUAACCGGUGGACACUCUCGCUCUCUCUCGCUCGCGCCACACAUACACACACCCUGAUUUAUGAUCGGUAUGGGAUAGGCCAUGUCGGCAGGCCACAUAAUUUAGACAGACGUCACCCUGUGUGAGGAAAACCCACAGCGUUGCGUUCACAAUAUAUUAAUAAAACAUUUAAAAAAUCAGCAGGUCACUCAACAGGCCAGGCCAUCGAGAAACCUCCCGGUCCUCCCGAUAGCCAGUCCGGGCCUCCUUCUGAGUACUUCUCCCACCUUACACGUAAUUGGGGCAACAGAACUCCGAGUUAAGGAAGUUGAAAACGGUGCAUUUCUCCGUAUGAAUAUGAUGCCUUUUGGCCAGCUGACGGAGAGAUUGCUCGUGUUUCCGUGAAAAUACUUAUGGCAAACGAGCAUUGACCACAUCGUCUGUGAGCGAGAUGCCCCGCCCCCCACACAGAGGAGAGAGAGAGAAAGAGAGAUCUCUGCACCAAACACGUUAGAUGUCAAGGGAGAUAUAUGCCUCAUCACACUUUGUUGAUUUUGGCAUUAAAGCUGAAAGACUUGUCGACGGCUCGUCCACUUUUCUUUUAACUGCCGGUUGUGUUAAAACCAUAGACUGUAUAUAUAAAUGGACGUAGGGUCCGUGACGUCACCCAUAGGAUUCUGCAGAGUUGCCGUGAAGCCCUUAGUAGGCGGAGUCGGCCACUAACGGCUCGACAGUGACGUCAGAGUCUAACUCCCGCCUGCUCCAAAUAAGGGCAAAGAGGCGGAGCCGAGGCGGGACAGGGCGGGACCUGCUGCCAACGAGCGUGAUGUUCCAGACCUAGCUCAGGCUAAGAAGCUAAGCUAACAUGCUCUCAGUAUUAAGCUAACAACACAGUCUAUGCUAACAACCCUGCCUAUGCUAACAACCCAGCUUGCGGUCACUGCUCCUCGUUCCCGGCAUAUUCUGAAGCAUUAAGAAAAAAGAAGAUGGCAACCUCCUCCACGCCAAACUGCACAACCUUGACUGUAUGGAUAAUCGGAGACAGCUACGUCCGGCGUGGAGCCCAGAGAGCUACAGAGACCAUCGGCAGCAACCUUGGCCUCGACCUGAGGGUGUGCUGGUUCAGUUGGGGUGGACUGCGCUGGAGAGGUGUCCUCCCUUUCUUUUCCUACUCCCUGCGAGGAAUAGCAGUCCCGGAUGUCCUCCUCAUCCACUGUGACUUGGGGGAUGUGCCCAGUGUUCAGUUGCUGAACCAGAUGAAGGAGGACCUGCACCAGCUUCACCAUCGGCACCCUGGCAUGAAGAUCAUGCUCUCCCAGAUCAACCAGAGGCGCCUGUGGAGGGCUGGUGCAAAUGCUGUCAAAAUUGACAAGGCCCGGAAGUUUGUUAACAGUGUUAUGGCUACUUUUGUUCAUAGCCUAAAUGGUGUCAUUGUUGACCACUCCAACAUUAGACAUGACAGUCCUGGGCUUUUUUUGCGAGAUAGAGUUCAUUUCACCCCUAGGGGAAAUGAUAUUUUUUUAAAGUCACUAGCCAAUUGCCUGAAAGACCACCUCCAAAGACUGUGAACUGCUAAAAUGUCAGUAUCACUGUUUUUGGAUUUGGCCUUUAGAGUAUGUAUUCUAAGGCCCUUGCUAAGCCCAGACUGUCAUGGCUAAUGUUGAGUUAGAUAUUACAUCUGUAGCCAUAACACUGUUAACAUGGCUGCUCUUCCUCUUCCCCACAUCCCACCCCCCCCUCUUCCCCCAAUGGACUCUGUAGCUCUCCAGGCCCAUGCUGGGCAUGGCUGUCUGUCAAACCUUUUAUUUUGUAUUUGUUAUGAUGUUUUUUGUUUAUUUGUUAAAAUAAUUCUGUAUUUAUGUAAAUAUUGAAAAUAAAUUACAUUCAUAUUUUCACUUCUUUUGUCUACUGCUUACUGAAAAUGUUAGCUAUCACAUCCAAAUGGGACUAUCAAAUGAAAGGAUAAGCUUACCAUACAAUACAGAAAACAUUACACAUUAAGGCUCAAAUCUUUUCCCAAGCCGUAGCAGUCUGAAAAGAGUCCCAAGUUUAAAAACACAAAAUCUUGACAAUGAAUGAAACGCUGUCAUUUAUCAGUGACAAUGCAAACAACAAGAAGGUCUCCCCUAAUCCCAUGUGUUUUGGCAUCAAAUAUGUCAUAAGCAUACCAUAGAAUGUAAUUAUGAAGUGCAAUACCCACAAUCCCAACAGGGUCGUAACAUCACAAAAGAUAAUACCUUUUAGAGAGUUUCGAAAUUGUUCAGUAUGCAGAUAAAUAUUUGUUUUACAAUAGAAACAUUUUUCUCCAUAAAUGUUCCCACAUGUUGUGAGCAUCAACUUUAAAUCUUUUGUCAACAAAUAAAAAACAUCUUAAUUUCCUUUACGACAACAUUUUGUUUAUAACACCACUACAUUAACAAUAAGCAUAGGAAAAUGAUAAAUGUCGACAUUUAAGAUUGUGCUUUUACUCUGUAUUUAAUCAGAUCUAUUUCACAUUGAAAAUGUGAUAAAUACAGAAGCCACAUUGAAAGUUACAUCUUGCAUUUUAUGAAAAGUAAAGAAUAAUUUUAUGACUUAAGUACACUAGAAAAUAAAUUAAAGAUGUGC